rnacentral:lncRNA from 1 species
UGAGCUGCUGGAUUGGCACCUGCUUUCUCGCUCCGGCAAACAGAAAUGAAAGGAGCAAAACAUAUAACAGGAAGCUCCUAUAAUAAAUCCACCAGCUCUCUAGGAGUCCCUGACAAAUGUAUCUGAGUAAAAAAACAUCUGUGUCUGGUUGGAGUGGAUUAACUGAAUACACAGGGAAAUGCAAAUAAUGAUGUAAUACCAGCUACACAGUGUACAAGUAUUUUAAUUUCUCUGGAUUGGUUAUAAUGAAAAUCCUAUCUUAAA